rnacentral:rRNA from 1 species
UACGGAGGAUCCAAGCGUUAUCCGGAUUUAUUGGGUUUAAAGGGUGCGUAGGCGGCUUAUUAAGUCAGGGGUGAAAUACGGUGGCUCAACCAUCGCAGUGCCCUUGAUACUGAUGAGCUUGAAUACACUUGAGGUAGGCGGAAUGUGACAAGUAGCGGUGAAAUGCAUAGAUAUGUCACAGAACACCAAUUGCGAAGGCAGCUUACUAAGGUGCAAUUGACGCUGAGGCACGAAAGCGUGGGGAUCAAACAGG